rnacentral:rRNA from 1 species
GAUGAACGCUGGCGGCCUGCCUAACACAUGCAAGUCGAGCGAGAAGGUUAUGAUGGAUUCUUCGGAUGACAGAUUAACUGGAAAGCGGCGGACGGGUGAGUAACGCGUGGGUAACCUGCCCUGUACAGAGGAAUAGCCAUUGGAAACGAUGAUUAAUGCCUCAUAAGACUACGACACCACCUGGUGAUGUAGUAAAAACUCCGGUGGUACAGGAUGGACCCGCGUUAGAUUAGUUAGUUGGUGAGGUAACGGCUCACCAAGACUACGAUCUAUAGCCGACCUGAGAGGGUGAUCGGCCACACUGGAACUGAGACACGGUCCAG